UACGUAGGGGGCAAGCGUUGUCCGGAUUAUUGGGCGUAAAGAGCGUGUAGGCGGCCGUACAGGUCAGCUGUGAAAACUCGAGGCUCAACCUCGAGACGUCGGUUGAAACCGUACGGCUAGAGUCCGGAAGAGGAGAGUGGAAUUACCGGUGUAACGGUGAAAGUGUGCAGAUAUCGGUAAGAACCCCGACGGCGAAAGCAAUCUACUGGCCAAAACUGACACUUAAGAACGAAAGCUAGGGGAGCGAAUAGG
rnacentral:rRNA from 1 species